GAUUUCAACUGAAAAAGUCAUCAACAACAAAGUUAUAUAACUCAUCAAGAUCUAUAACUUUUAUUUUGGUUGUUUCUUAAUCCGACAAAGUGAUAGUAAUAUUAUUCACAAAAUUUACAUGUCUCAUAUAUUUUUAUAAACUAUAAGAGACAUAUGUAAACUUUAUGAACAAUGUUACUAUCACUUUAUCAGAUGAAGAAAUGACUAAAAUAAAAGUUAUAUGUCUUGAUGAGCUCUGUAACUUUUAUGUUCAUGACUUUUUCAGCUGAAAUU
rnacentral:pre_miRNA from 1 species